GUGUCAGCCGCCGCGGUAAUACCAGCACCCCGAGUGGUCGGGAUGAUUAUUGGGCCUAAAGCAUCCGUAGCCGGUGUAACAAGUCCUCCGUUAAAUCCACCUGCUUAACAGGUGGGCUGCGGAGGAUACUGUUACACUAGGAGGCGGGAGAGGCGAGGGGUAUUCCCCGGGUAGGGGUAAAAUCCUCUGAUCCGUGGAGGACCACCAGUGGCGAAGGCGCCUCGCCAGAACGCGCUCGACGGGGAGGGAUGAAAGCUGGGGGAGCAAACCGGAUUAGAUACCCGGGUAGUCCCAGCCGUAAACGAUGUAGGCUCGGUGAUGGACUGGCUCCGAGCCAGUCCAGUGCCGCAGGGAAGCCGUUAAGCCUACCGCCUGGGGAGUACGGCCGCAAGGCUGAAACUUAAAUGAAUUGACAGGG
rnacentral:rRNA from 1 species